GUGCCCAACUCGAGGUGUCCCACAGUCCUUUGAUGCAUAUCAAGUCCUGAUUGCACCUCUGACUUCAUACACACUACUGAGUUCCCAAAUGUAAGUCCCUGAACUAUUACACCUUUCCACGAACCUCAAAGUACCUCAUACCUACUGUAUCCCCAUAACGUUCUGUGCUUCAUUAUUGCAGCAUUCCUCUUUCCAUUUAUGGUGGUGGAUUUUCGUGAUGCUUUCUGUAUCACCCUCAAUAAUACACUAAGGUGGCGUACAGGAACAUGUGCAAACACAUUCUACAUCCCAAGAUAUGUUGCUGGAAGCGUUCAAUAAAUGCUGUUAAGUUUCACCA
rnacentral:lncRNA from 1 species